UAGGCUUUACCUGCUACGAGAAACUCGUCCGUUUCGAAUGUACCGUGACUACUUAAAAGAAACGAUUUUUGAAACGCGUCCCCUUUCGUCUUAUCCGUUGACCCUUUGAAUAGGAAAAAAAAGAAAGAAAGAAAGAAAGAAAAAAAAAAAAAAAAGAAAAAAGAAAAAAGGCAGUCUUGCCUCCUGGUUUUCUGGGGAGCCGUCGGUCGGCAUCGCGUAUCGACGAAGCGCAUGUAUAACAGAGUUCCCGAUAAUAAUGGUACUUAUUAUGCCGCUACCAUUUGCGGCCGAUUCACCUGAUGAGGACCAUUCUCGUAGAGAUAACGUUCAGGCAGUGCUGGAACCAUAAUCAACCGGUCGUCCAGGGCGGCUUGGAUCUAAGUGACUCUCAAAAGGCUCUGAAAAGUAAGAAGCACGGCCGGCAAGCUACGACGAGGCGCACGCCGUACGAUGACUAAUGGCAGACACCUACACCUACAAUGCCUCGUGAACGGCCGAUCCAUCGUCAAUGAACACGGGGAUUACACUGCUAAAUGAGAUUCCAGCGGCAAAAUCAAAGUGGCAGCAGGUGGCCAGGGCCACGGCCAUCUUCCCCGCGGGAUACGCCUUGGUGCCUGCAUCGUUCUCGCAUCUUCCGAAGACGCGCACCGUUCUUCUACCGCCAUAUUGCCGGAGAAUGGCGGCUUCACUAUUUUCUUUCACUAUAUUUUCACGUUGUAAACGUUAGAUCUCUUUCGAGGAUCUCUUCGAACUAUCUUUUACAAUAUCCAUUUAUAUAACAGACGAUAUCAAAUGUAAAAAUUGAAAGUUUGUUUUUAUUAAAAAAAAAAAAAAAAAAAAAAAAAAAGAAAAAAGGGAAAAAAGAAAAGAAAAGAAAAAAAGGAAAAAGUAAAAAUGUUUAACUUGAUUAAUUUUUAAUAUCGAAAUUAUCUGCUGCUAAGUAUUUGUUUCUGAGUAAUGUAUAUCUAGUUUCAUUGAUAUUAUUGUAGAUAUUUCUUUUUUUAUACGAGAAAAAAUAGUUCACAAAGAUACGAUUGAUAAGUAAUUAAAUUAGUAAUUUUUUCUAAACGCACGUCUACGAUAUUUCGAAAUGAAAAUUCUUUUCAUCGUUGUUUUUCAAUCGAUGCAAUUAUUAUGCUUUCAUAUUUUUCCGAGGACACCGACAUUUUUUUCGUCCGACAUUAGUAAUUAUUUUUCCACAUGACCGAAGCGGUGGACUUCUAACAGGCAAGAGGGCUGGACCGGAUUGCGCCUUCAGCUGCUCAGAAGUGGCGUGGCAACCGGCGGAACCAUUUUAACAGUUUCGACCAUUUUCCCAUUUUCUUCGUCUUUCGGAUUUCGUGGACAGAUAUUAAUCGUGUUGGACGAUCAUUUUUUAAAGGAAAAGAAAAGUUGGUAAAUCUACCACAGAUGUUAGUAAAAAUCGCUACGGACGUAGAUUUCUUUGGAGAGGGCGAGGAAGGGAGGACGUAGAACUGCUUUUUUAUAAUCUCCACUUUUUCGUCAAUCAGCAUAGUUUCUUUAUUUCUACUUUAUCAUAAACAAGAUAUAUAUAUAUAUUGUAUUUGAAAAUAUAUUCAA